rnacentral:rRNA from 1 species
CCUACGGGGUGCAGCAGUGAGGAAUAUUGGUCAAUGGACGAGAGUCUGAACAAGCCAAGUAGCGUGAAGGAUGACUGCCCUAUGGGUUGUAAACUUCUUUUAUAUGGGAAUAAAAUGUUCCACGUGUGGGAUUUUGUAUGUACCAUAUGAAUAAGGAUCGGCUAACUCCGUGCCAGCAGCCGCGGUAAUACGGAGGAUCCGAGCGUUAUCCGGAUUUAUUGGGUUUAAAGGGAGCGUAGGUGGAUUGUUAAGUCAGUUGUGAAAGUUUGCGGCUCAACCGUAAAAUUGCAGUUGAAACUGGCAGUCUUGAGUACAGUAGAGGUGGGCGGAAUUCGUGGUGUAGCGGUGAAAUGCUUAGAUAUCACGAAGAACUCCGAUUGCGAAGGCAGUUCACUGGACUGCAACUGACACUGAGGCUCGAAAGUGUGGGUAUCAAACAGGAUUAGAUACCCGGGUAGUC